GAAAUUCCUAACCAUGUCGUGUUUUUAUUCUCAGAAUUAAGAAAAAGAAAGAGCAGGAACGUUAUGCUGAAGAACAGAGGAUACUAAGAAUGAACCUUCUUAAAGAGCCAUAUUCAGAGGAGAAGAUGAGUGAGAUAUUAGCCCAGCUACAACUUGAGGAAAUAAAAGGAGCUAGAGAAAAACAGCAACAGAGAGAAAAAGAAUAUCAAAGAUAUUUAGAAGCUUUAAGAGCCCAGAUCCAAGAGAAAAUGCAGCUGUAUAAAAUUACUUUACCUCCACUAUGCUGCUGUGGUCCUGAUUUUUGGGAUGCUCAUCCUGAUACCUGUGCCAACAACUGUAUUUUCUAUAAAAACCACAGAGCAUAUACCCGGGCACUACAUUCAGUCAUCAGUUCCUGUGAUAUACCUGAGGGGAACUCAGCUCUUCGAGUCGCCAUUCAUAAUUUUGCUUCUGCACACAGACGGACUUUGAAAAAUCUGUAAUAAGAAUCUGAAGUCAACUGUUAGUAUUUGAACCUUCACUUAAAAUCAACCCUGAGAGAUUAUUUAGGAAAAGCUGUUAAAGUGUGUAAAAUGUGUAAUCUGGAAAGAAAGACUGUCCCACAUAAACUGUCUCUAUAAUUAGAUUGUAACAAUUGUUUCAGUUCUCUGCCUUGAGACCAAGAUUGAAAGUUGACUUCCAAACUUGUUUCUUUGCUCUGAACCAUAUGGAACCUAUUGUUUUAAAAAUGAUCAGUCAGACCAGUAAGAUUUCUCUUACUUUUGCUCUGCUCUGAUCAGAAGAGAUCAUGAGAAAUCUUUGAGAUUGUCUCAUUUAUUUUCUUUCUAAAAUGUAUCUUCGAGUCCUGACAAAAUUAAAAAUAUUUGGAUGAAACAGAACAGAAGAUGAUGAAAUGAGUUUUUGAGCAUCAGUGGCCAUCUGUAUUGCUGUUAGCUUUUCUAGUUUUGUAUAACAAAAAGAGAUGAGAAGAAUCUGAAUUUGAUGCACAUUUUUUUUCUCAAAAAUUUUCUCUCCUUUUU